rnacentral:tRNA from 1 species
AUUUAAGUAGUUUAAAUAAAAUUUUGAUUUGUGAUAUCAAAGAUAUAUUAAUCAUAUUUUAAAUA